UUUGUUUUUAGAUCUGAGAGAGCCCUGGGUUUCCCAUCACCACCUUACAUGGAAAUGUGUAGACUGUAAGAAUAAGUUCUUUAGAAAAGUGAGCUAGAGUUUUUGUUGUUGUUGUUAUUCUUGUUGUUUUUUUAAGUGUGUGUUUCAGCCUUGGCAGUGGAUUCUUUGGCAGUUGUGUGGCCCAGAGGGAACCAGACGCAGAGAAAAGUCAAGCCAGUCUCUUUCAGAUACGGGGUAGCCAUUCAGAUUUCCAGUCCACCGAGGUAGAAGCAAGCCUCCCUCCCGGCUAUUCGUAGAGAAUAAUAAGGGCCCUUCUCUGACCUGGGACUCAUCAGUAACAGCUCGACUCCCAGCAAGCCUCAAGGGAUCUAUCUGCCCAUCUUGGCUUCUCCGGCAUUGGGAUUGAGUGCCUGGCACCAUCCCUGGUUCUUCUGCAUAGGUUAAAAACGGCCGACUCAGGACCUCAGGCAGACACUUUAUAACUGAAAUAUUAACCCAAUAAAUAUUAAUUGAUUUUA
ensembl:processed_transcript Gm43572 predicted gene 43572